rnacentral:rRNA from 1 species
UAGGAAUACCCGCUUGAACUUAANGCAUAUCAAUAANGCGGAGGAAU